GAGAGAGAGAGAGCAUGCACACACACACACACACACACACAUACACAGCUUCAGGAGCACAUUCUUACACGCCACAAAGCAGUUGCUUGGACGACCGAAGACAGAACGAAAGACGGGAAUCACAACACAGAGGAGAGGAAAAGGAAGAAGAACGAGAAGAGAUCUUGUGGGGGAGAUUACUACAAAGCAAGCAACUCCUCCAGCAGGUAAGAAGAGUUCUCCUCUCAUUCAUCCACUGCGCAUUCACGUCUUCUUUCAAAACUUUGGGUCUCGAUUGCGUACUAUUACAGUGAGAAAGGAAUGAGUUGAGUUGAGAGAAACGGGGUUUUGAUUGGAGGAGAGAGCGAACGCACAAUAAGGAGAAAAAUAAUCCACCUAAAAAAGAGAGAGAGAGAGAGAGAGAGAGAGAGAGAGAGAGAGAGAGAGAGAGAGAGAGAGAGAGAGACCGGUCUCCGAAGACAAAACAAGUUUGCGUUUUUCUCUUUUUCUCACACACAGAGGCAUGCCUGAUCCACAGGUAUCCACGGAAAUACUUUCAUACAUCUGAUUUUAAAUGCUCUAGAGCUCUACAGAACAGUUUAAGUCAGGCAGGUUGUUCCACCAUUUCAGAACCACAAAAGAGUCCAGUUUUAUUCUUAGUACUACCAGGUGGUAUCACCAGGUACAAUUCCCAGACUGUACUGAUCAUGAGGGGAAAUAAAUAGGUGAAGUGCUUUUGGUUACUCAAUUUUCAAGUAUAAAGAACUCCAUGAAGCCAGUGGAGGCUGGAGAUAAAGAGAGGGGCGUGACAUCCACAGACUUUUUGGAUUAUCGACUGGCACAGGGUAGCAAUAAAGGAACAAUGGGAUGGCUUCAAGGGCUCAGAGUAGACAAUUUGGCCAAAGAAGACCCUAAAGACCCUAGAAAUAAAUUGUCUAGGAGGGAAGCAAAAAGCUGAGCCAGAAGCCCACUCCUUAUAGAAAAAUCACAUACAUUUCACAUGAUCAUAUGUUUGUUUGUUUUUUCCCCCACACAAUACGUGAUACAUGAAUGUGAACGUGCUUAUCAACAUGCUACGCCCUGUGAGCCAAAUGAAACAUACGUGACAUCGGGUAAAUAAAUUACAAUUACAAUGUGGAACGUGAACAUGUGAAAAUAAUCGAAUUGUGUUUACGUAAGUCACGUGAAAAUGAAUCGAAUGCAAGUAAACAAAUCAUAUAAAAAUGUUUGAAAAUAAAGAUUUUCAUGUGUAAAAAUAAAUCCCAAGUGAAAAAUAAAUCAGGUGGAAAAAGUCACAUGUGGAAAAAAUAUGAAACACGUGAAGUGUUUAAAAACACAUUAGUCUAUGAAAGGAAGCUAUCAUUGCUGUGGAUACCCUGUGCACUGGUUCAGUGGUGCCAGAAGGUAGAGUCACAGUUCUCAUGCUUUGAGAUGGCGAGAGCCUGGACGAUGAAUUGGGUCACUCCAUGAAAACCGCAGCCAAACUGUGACAUGAGGGUAAAAUCCCACCUUCACGCUGACUUUACCAUAAAACAUAAUGGCAUACGGGUCAAAAAUAACAUCUCCACUCAAACAUGAGUUAUGAGGCAUCACAUUUACUGUAUUGCACAUGAAAAUAACAAUGAAUUUCCAUCCAUUUUCCAUACCACUUCUCCUACAUAGGGUUUGCAGGGAAGCCUGGAGCCUAUCCCAGGGGAUUUGGGCCACUUGGGACACCCAGGACAGGGUUGCAAUCCAUCACAGGG
ensembl:lncRNA